rnacentral:tRNA from 1 species
GAGGGUAGAGCUCAGUAGCACAGCUCAUGCCUAGCAUGCAUGAGGUCUUGGGUUCAAUUCCCAGUACCUCUA